GAAUUGCUAGUAAUCGCAGAUCAGCAUGCUGCGGUGAAUACGUUCCCGGGCCUUGUACACACCGCCCGUCACACCAUGGGAGUCGGUAACACCCGAAGCCUGUAGUCUGACCUUUUGGAGGACGCAGUCGAAGGUGGGAUCGAUGACUGGGGUGAAGUCGUAACAAGGUACC
rnacentral:rRNA from 1 species